GGUCGAUUAGCUCAGUUGGUUAGAGCACUGUGUUCACAUCGCAGGGGUCACUGGUUCGAAUCCAGUAUCGACCA
rnacentral:tRNA from 1 species